UGCGUUUGUGGAUUGUCAAGUUCAAUCUAAUACAUGGCCAGGAUAAUUCAUUUGAAAUGGUGGUUAUCGAUGAGAAGGGUUGCAAGAUUCAUGCUACUGUCCAGAGGCACCUGAUUCAUUUGCUUAAGGGUGCACCUGAUUCAUUACCGGUGUACAUGGAUUUAAUUCAGUGGUACACCUUCUAUAUGCAUAACUUGGAGGAGCUUAACAACUGUUGGAGUCCAAGGCUUCUUUCUUUGAAUAUCUGAUUUGGAAGGUAAGUGGUGAUCCGCAUUGAACAACAAACAACAGUUGAAGGGGAGAUUAAUUAAAGAGGAUGAAGGGAGCAUAAGUCAAACUAUGAGUGCAUAAUGUAAUCGGUUCCUAUCAAGUUUCAAUGAAGAAUUGGAAGUAGAAGGUUAUGAUCAAAUGGUGCACUUAUAGUAUGUAAGCUUUUUGAGAAGAUAGACACUGAUGCAUAUAUGAUGAGAACCUUGAGGGAUAAGGAGAAGAAAAAGGAAUAGAAUGGUAAAUUGAUGCAUAGUAUAUGGAGGAUCGUUUAAUGAAUAUAUAUAUGCUAUCAUACAUUUAAAACAACAUAUUAAUUUAAUAUGUUGACUCUAUGUUUGAAGAGAUUAUUGUGCAAUGACUUUAAUUUUGAAUUUGGAGUUAGACAAAAGUUAUGUAUUUUAGAGCUUUACGAAAGCUAUGAUUUAAAUUUUUUUCUUAUUA